GAUCCGAGCGUUAUCCGGAUUUACUGGGCGUAAAGGGUGCGUAGGUGGUUUCUUAAGUCAGGAGUGAAAGGCUACGGCUCAACCGUAGUAAGCUCUUGAAACUGGGAAACUUGAGUGCAGGAGAGGAGAGUGGAAUUCCUAGUGUAGCGGUGAAAUGCGUAGAUAUUAGGAGGAACACCAGUUGCGAAGGCGGCUCUCUGGACUGUAACUGACACUGAGGCACGAAAGCGUGGGGAGC
rnacentral:rRNA from 1 species